rnacentral:rRNA from 1 species
GACGAACACUGGCGGCGUGCUUAACACAUGCAAGUCGAACGGAAAGGCCCUGCUUGCAGGGUACUCGAGUGGCGAACGGGUGAGUAACACGUGGGUGAUCUGCCCUGCACUUCGGGAUAAGCCUGGGAAACUGGGUCUAAUACCGGAUAGGAGCCAUUUUUAGUGUGAUGGUUGGAAAGUUUUUUCGGUGUAGGAUGAGCUCGCGGCCUAUCAGCUUGUUGGUGGGGUAAUGGCCUACCAAGGCGGCGACGGGUAGCCGGCCUGAGAGGGUGGACGGCCACAUUGGGACUGAGAUACGGCCCAGACUCCUACGGGAGGCAGCAGUGGGGAAUAUUGCACAAUGGGCGCAAGCCUGAUGCAGCGACGCCGCGUGGGGGGUGACGGCCUUCGGGUUGUAAACUCCUUUCGCUAGGGACGAAGCUUUUUGUGACGGUACCUAGAUAAGAAGCACCGGCUAACUACGUG